AACGAACGCUGGCGGCAUGCCUAACACAUGCAAGUCGAACGAGACCUUCGGGUCUAGUGGCGCACGGGUGCGUAACGCGUGGGAACCUGCCCUUAGGUUCGGAAUAACUCCCCGAAAGGGGUGCUAAUACCGGAUAAUGUCUUCGGACCAAAGAUUUAUCGCCUUUGGAUGGGCCUGCGUUGGAUUAGCUAGUUGGUAGGGUAAAAGCCUACCACGGCGACGAUCCAUAGCUGGUCUGAGAGGAAGAUCAGCCACACUGGGACUGAGACACGGCCCAGACUCCUACGCGAGGCAGCAGUGGGGAAUAUUGGACAGUGGGCGAAAGCCUGAUCCAGCAAUGCCGCGUGAGUGAUGAAGGCCUUAGGGUUGUAAAGCUCUUUUACCCGGGAUGAUAAUGACGGUACCGGGAGAAUAAGCUCCGGCUAACUCCGUG
rnacentral:rRNA from 1 species